GAGGUGAGAAAGAGAAGGGGGAAGGAAGAUAGUGGGAGAAUAGUCAAUUGGUGGUAGAGGUCCUGGAGGGAUGGGGAGCAGAUAUAGAAGGUGAGUGGAGAGUUAAGAGUAUGGAAUGAGGUUAGUGACUAGAGGUUGGAAAGAGAAGAAAAAAACUAGAGGUAAGGAAGAUCAUUGAAAGAGCAUUCGAUCGGGAGUGGAGGGGUGGAGAGAGGGUAGGAGGUGUGUGAAGAGCUAGGAUUUUAGGGUUAAAAAAGGUGGAAAAGAAAAGAAAAAGAAGCGAGAAAAAUAGAGAUCCCGGGAUGAGCAGCAGACUAAGGUUUUGAGGAUGGGA
rnacentral:lncRNA from 1 species